CUGAACUUAAGCAUAUCAAUAAGCGGAGGAAAAGAAACCAACCGGGAUUGCCUCAGUAACGGCGAGUGAAGCGGCAAAAGCUCAAAUUUGAAAUCUAGUGCCUUCGGCGCUCGAGUUGUAAUUUGUAGAGGGAUACUCUGGGGCCGUUCCUUGUCUAUGUUCCUUGGAACAGGACGUCAUAGAGGGUGAGAACCCCGUGUGGCGAGGAGUGCGGUUCUUUGUAGAGUGCCUUCGAAGAGUCGAGUUGUUUGGGAAUGCAGCUCUAAGUGGGUGGUAAAUUCCAUCUAAAGCUAAAUACAGGCGAGAGACCGAUAGCGAACAAGUACAGUGAUGGAAAGAUGAAAAGAACUUUGAAAAGAGAGUGAAAAAGUACGUGAAAUUGUUGAAAGGGAAGGGCAUUUGAUCAGACAUGGUGUUUUGCGCCCCCUGCUCCUUGUGGGCGGGGGACUCUCGCGGCUCACUGGGCCAGCAUCGGUUUUUGCGGCCGGAUAAAUCCCCUGGAACGUAGCUUGCUUCGGGAAGUGUUACAGCCAGCGGGGAAUACGGCCAGCGGGGACCGAGGACUGCGGCGCU
rnacentral:rRNA from 1 species